rnacentral:rRNA from 1 species
AAGUCGUAACAAGGUCUCCGUAGGUGAACCUGCGGAGGGAUCAUUAACGAGUUAGGGCCUCCGCGCCCGACCUCCAACCCUCUUGUAUCACACCUCGUUGCCUCGGGGGUGGCCCUGCCUCGCGGCGGGCCCCCCAGAGGACCACUCAAACACUGCAUUUUAAUGUCGUCUGAGUUAGAUUUUAAAUGAAAUCAAAACUUUCAACAACGGAUCUCUUGGUUCUGGCAUCGAUGAAGAACGCAGCGAAAUGCGAUAAGUAAUGUGAAUUGCAGAAUUCAGUGAAUCAUCGAAUCUUUGAACGCAUAUUGCGCCCCUUGGUAUUCCUUGGGGCGCACCUGUUCGAGCGUCAUUUCACCAAUCAAGCCUCGCUUGGUUUUGGGCGAUGCGCAUGUCGCACGCCUCAAAUGCCCCGGCCGAGCAGUCUCUCUUCCGGCGUCGUGGAAACAUACCGCUAUGGAGACGAGACCUGCCCGUGCCGCAGAAUAAACCAUUUAUAAAGGUUGACCUCGGAUCAGGUGGGGAUACCCGCUGAACUUAA